UCUGUGUUUGACACUAUUCAUUGUAAAUUUUUCUUUUUAAUUCCUUUCAAAUGCUUUUGAUUUUGGACUUGAAGUUUUGUACGUUUGCAGAACAUCACACUCCCAACAUAUGGUAUUUUUUAGAAUUUUUUUUGAAACUUUUAAACAUGUUUUUUAUGAAGUUUGCACCGAAUGGGGGUUUUCAUAGGAUAUUUCGCCGACUUAAUUACUCAACCCACCCAUUGUUCACUUCAAAUUUUGAAGAACAAACAAGAUCUAACCGCUGAGCAAUCAACUUCUCUCUAACUAAAAGUCGGUCAACUUUGAUAUGGCAAAACCAAAGUAAAAUACAUAUACUUCAUCUGCUUUUUUGAGAGGAGUUUUCUUUUAGUUAGCUCAAUCCUUAAAUUUUGUAUUCCUAAAUUUGGUUUUCAAAAUGAUUUUACCCAUAAGAAUAAAUUUUAUAAAACCACAGUUCUUAGGACUAGGGUUUAAUCGGGUCUCAGUUAUCACUAAUAGUCUCACAGAAACACGGUUUUUCAGGUAGACUAUCUCAUAGAACCCAAAUCAGGUAGAUUAUGGUGUUUGAUGAUACUUCUGAC
rnacentral:lncRNA from 1 species